ensembl:rRNA 5S_rRNA 5S ribosomal RNA
GCUUACGGCCAUACCACCCUGAACACUCCCGCUCUCGUUUGAUCUCGGCAGUAAACCAGGGUCGGGCCUGGUCAGUACUUGGAUUGGAGACAUCCUGGGAAUACCAGGUGCUGUAAGCU